rnacentral:rRNA from 1 species
ACAGGGGGAUAGCCCGGAGAAAUCUGGAUUAAUACCCCAUGGUACAUAUUGAUGGCAUCAGAGAUAUGUUAAAGAUUCAUCGGUAUAAGAUGGGCAUGCGUCUGAUUAGCUAGUUGGCGGUGUAACGGACCACCAAGGCGACGAUCAGUAGGGGUUCUGAGAGGAAGGUCCCCCACACUGGCACUGAGAUACGGGCCAGACUCCUACGGGAGGCAGCAGUAGGGAAUAUUGGGCAAUGGUCGGAAGACUGACCCAGCCAUGCCGCGUGCAGGAAGACGGCCCUCUGGGUUGUAAACUGCUUUUAUCUGGGAAGAAAAAGGCCAUGCGUGGCAAAUUGCCGGUACCAGAUGAAUAAGCACCGGCUAACUCCGUGCCAGCAGCCGCGGUAAUACGGAGGGUGCGAGCGUUGUCCGGAUUUAUUGGGUUUAAAGGGUGCGUAGGCGGCUGAUUAAGUCAGCGGUGAAAGACUUCGGCUUAACCGGAGCAGUGCCGUUGAUACUGGUUGGCUUGAGUGUCGGAGGGGUACAUGGAAUUGAUGGUGUAGCGGUGAAAUGCAUAGAUACCAUCAGGAACACCGAUAGCGAAGGCAUUGUACUGGCCGACAACUGACGCUGAUGCACGAAAGUGUGGGGAUCGAACAGGAUUAGAUACCCUGGUAGUCCACACCGUAAACGAUGAUUACUCGCUGUUAUGGUGUAUGCUGUAGUGGCCAAGCGAAAGCGUUAAGUAAUCCACCUGGGGAGUACGCCGGCAACGGUGAAACUCAAAGGAAUUGACGGGGGUCCGCACAAGCGGUGGAGCAUGU